UACAGAGGUCUCAAGCGUUGUUCGGAUUCAUUGGGCGUAAAGGGUGUGUAGGUGGCGCGCUAAGUCGGGUGUGAAAUCUCGGAGCUUAACUUCGAAACUGCAUUCGAUACUGCCGUGCUUGAGGACUGGAGAGGAGACUGGAAUUUACGGUGUAGCGGUGAAAUGCGUAGAUAUCGUAAGGAAGACCAGUGGCGAAGGCGGGUCUCUGGACAGUUCCUGACGCUGAGGCACGAAGGCCAGGGGAGCAAACGGG
rnacentral:rRNA from 1 species